rnacentral:rRNA from 1 species
UACGUAGGGGGCAAGCGUUGUCCGGAAUCAUUGGGCGUAAAGCGCGUGUAGGCGGCUCGGUAAGUCCGCUGUGAAAGUCCAGGGCUCAACCCUGGGAUGCCGGUGGAUACUGUCGAGCUCGAGUCCGGAAGAGGCGAGUGGAAUUCCUGGUGUAGCGGUGAAAUGCGCAGAUAUCAGGAGGAACACCUAUGGCGAAGGCAGCUCGCUGGGACGUGACUGACGCUGAGACGCGAAAGCGUGGGGAGCAAACAGG